AACGAACGCUGGCGGCGUGGAUUAGGCAUGCAAGUCGCACGUGAAAGAGGGGCUUGCUCCUCGAGUAAAGUGGCGAACGGGUGAGUAACGCGUGAGAGACCUGCCUUGAAGAGGGGAAUAACACUCCCAACGGGGUGCUAAUACCGCAUGUAUUCGGUGAGUCGCAUGGCUUGCCGAGAAAAGGUGGCCUCUGUUUACAAGCUACCGCUUCAAGAGGGUCUCGCGUCCGAUUAGCUAGUUGGCGGGGUAAAGGCCCACCAAGGCGACGAUCGGUAGCUGGUCUGAGAGGAUGGCCAGCCACACUGGGACUGAGAUACGGCCCAGACUCCUACGGGAGGCAGCAGUCGAGAGGCUUCGGCAAUGGGGGAAACCCUGACCGAGCGACGCCGCGUGGAGGAUGAAGGCCUUUGGGUUGUAAACUCCUUUCGUGGGGGAAGAAUGUAUGCGAGGUAAAUAAUCUCGCAUGUUGACGGUACCCCAAGAAGAAGCUCCGGCUAACUCCGUGCCAGCAGCCGCGGUAAUACGGGGGGAGCAAGCGUUGUUCGGAAUCACUGGGCGUAAAGGGCGUGUAGGCGGUUCGGUAAGUGGGAUGUGAAAUCCCUCGGCUCACCCGAGGACCUGCAUCCCAUACUGCUGAGCUUGAGUACAGGAGAGGGUGGGGGAAUUCCUGGUGUAGCGGUGAAAUGCGUAGAUAUCAGAGGAACACCGGUGGCGAAGGCGCCCACCUGGCCUGCUACUGACGCUGAGGCGCGAAAGCUAGGGGAGCAAACGGGAUUAGAUACCCCGGUAGUCCUAGCCGUAAACGGUGAUCACUAGGUGUUGGGAGCAUCGACCCUUCCAGUGCCGCAGCUAACGCAUUAAGUGAUCCGCCUGGGGAGUACGGCCGCAAGGUCGAAACUCAAAGGAAUUGACGGGGGCCCGCACAAGCGGUGGAGCAUGUGGUUCAAUUCGACGCAACGCGAAGAACCUUACCCAGGCUUGACAUGCACUGGACUGGUGUGGAAACACAUCUUCCCUUCGGGGCCGGUGCACAGGUGCUGCAUGGCUGUCGUCAGCUCGUGUCGUGAGAUGUUGGGUUAAGUCCCGCAACGAGCGCAACCCUUGUCCUCUGUUGCCAUCACGUUAUGGUGGGCACUCUGAGGAGACUGCCGGUGACAAACCGGAGGAAGGUGGGGAUGACGUCAGGUCAGCAUGGCCUUUAUGUCUGGGGCCACACACGUGCUACAAUGGCAGAUACAAACCGUCGCGAUCCCGCGAGGGGGAGCUAAUCGGAGAAAGUCUGUCUCAGUUCGGAUUGCAGGCUGCAACUCGCCUGCAUGAAGUUGGAAUCGCUAGUAAUCGCGGAUCAGCACGCCGCGGUGAAUACGUUCCCGGGCCUUGUACACACCGCCCGUCACAUCACGAAAGCUGGCUGUACUAGAAGUCGCUGCGCUAACCCGCAAGGGAGGCAGGCGCCUAAGGUAUGGUUAGUGAUUGGGGUG
rnacentral:rRNA from 1 species